rnacentral:rRNA from 1 species
UACGGAAGGUCCGGGCGUUAUCCGGAUUUAUUGGGUUUAAAGGGAGCGUAGGCCGGAGAUUAAGCGUGUUGUGAAAUGUAGACGCUCAACGUCUGCACUGCAGCGCGAACUGGUUUCCUUGAGUACGCACAAAGUGGGCGGAAUUCGUGGUGUAGCGGUGAAAUGCUUAGAUAUCACGAAGAACUCCGAUUGCGAAGGCAGCUCACUGGAGCGCAACUGACGCUGAAGCUCGAAAGUGCGGGUAUCGAACAGGAUUAGAAACCCCGGCCGGCUGACUGACU